GGUCAUGUUGUCAAAGGUGGCCUUGUACAGGCUGCGGAAGCCAUCAUCUGCACCAGCAGAGCCUAUGACAAGGACAAGAAGAGAUGCCAGGUGAAGUGACUGGGAACAUGGCCCAGGGGCCAGACCUAUUUCCUCUCACAGUCAGCUGCAGGUCCUGAACCAAGGGGAGCACAGAAGUGAGGCCUAAAUCCUGCAGCCACCUCCUGAGUGGGAAUGGACCCUGCCCAAGGGGAACCUAAGACCAGCCAGGGUCAGUCAACACCAGUGGAUGGCAGGUGGUCUACGGAGGCCACAGGCUCCAGCGAGCCAUGGCUCUGGGUGGCAACACUGCAGGAGGCUUCCUUGAGUGUUAAGCUCUGGUACUACGGGCAGAGCCCCUCAGCCAGUCUCACCCUGGUGAGGUACAUGCCAAGGACAACCAGCUGCAUGCUACAGAGUGUCCUUAGGUCACCCUACCCUGCAGGUGGGUGUGGUCCCCGACCUCCAGCAGCCAAGGCUCAGGAUGCACAGGCUAGUGUGGUGCUCCUCCCCGCCCUAUCCACAUGUGCUCAUCUGUGUGUGGAGCGUCUGUGAAGACAGACUUUGAUCUGAGUCUGCACAGGUAACCCUCAACGACCGGACUGAGCAAGGCCCAGAAGACCCAGAGGGGCUGGCCGGGCAGAGCAUGAGGAAGUACAGUGGGAGGCCAACAGAAUGGCUCAGGAGGGAAAGGAUCCUGCGCCAAGCCUGACAGCCUGAGUUUCAGCCCACAUUCUGCAGAGGCUGUCUCUGACACAUGCUGCAGUCAGAAGUCCAGGGGUGAGCAGCUGCAGGCCCAGACUGCUAACACAGCCUGGGCCACAGGACACACUGCAGUCAGUUCAGAGUGAGCAGCCUGUCCUGCCUGCCACACUUCUUUCAAUUCAACACAAGCCAGUCAGGCUCCAAGAUGGGCUCUCAGUUGAGAAAACGCCCACUGGACGGCCCUGUGGCGAGUGAGCCUGCAGGCUUCAGAGGGCACAGCCCUGGAAGUCUAGGAACACUAGUUUCUAAGAAUUGGCUUUGCAACAUCUUUUCUGAGUAAUCCUUUGUUUCAUAAAGACUGGGUCUGGGUGGUUCUGCGUGGAUGAGCAUCCUCUGGCCAGGAAAUACAACAGAGGACACCCCAAGCAGCAGCUGAGUGCUGGACUUCGAGUCCUAUUCUCAGGUCUUCUCACUGCACUCGCAGUAGCAGAGCUUAGAUGUAUUAUACACCUAACAGAGUUCUCACCUUCCAGCAUGGCCCAGCUCUCACGGAGAUGGCUGCAGAGUCUCUGGGACACAGCAUCGUCAGGAGCAGCCUGCAGGUGACAAGUCAGCCGGGUCUCAGAGCAGGCAGAGGCCUGGCAGGGACACCCCCGGGCACAGGCACCUCCAAGAAGCUCUCCAGAGUUCCCAGUGCUGUUCUACCCCACCCAAAGCCUUAUGGGAUUGGCUGGGAUGUCCCCCAGUGCUCCCCUGCACAUCAGUACUCAGCAGGGCCCCGGGCACAGGGCCUGCACACCCACGAGGCCUAGCGCUGCCUUCAGCAGUGUGGGAUGAGAUGGGGUCGGGACCCAUCACUGAUGGCAACUCAACCUCCUGUACACAGGAACCGGUAAGUACCCAAGCCAGGGCAGACAAGCUGCCUCAGGGUAGAUUCAGCCUUGGGACCUGCUGUGAUCAAGCAGAAGAGGUUCAAGGCUGUGAGGAAAUCUCAUCUACACCCUGCCGCUCCCACCAGGACAACAGGCUCAGAACACGGAGAUGCUGCAUGCUCUCACCUGCCACUCGCUGCCCAUGGGCCUCCAGAGCGCCAGAGGGGCAUCACGGCAGUCCUGCAGAACCCACAGGCCCCGAGUCUCCUCAAAUACAACAUCCCACACCCGGUGAGGGAAAGUCAGCCGCUGUCUGAACACCAGCUGCUGUCUGCUGGCAUCAAGUUGGAAGACGAAGCCCACAGGGACACUGUCCAGGAGAGAGAGAGAGACAGGUCACCACCACAGCAGCACGUGACAUCCAAGCCCUAGGCCUGCCUCUACGACCUUGAAGACGCUGAGUCACCCAAACCCUGGGGGAUGGUACGUGUUUGUGGUCUGAGUUCUGGGGCAACUUGCUUUAUAGCAAGAACUAAUACAGGACAAAUGAGAUGGCCACCCACACGGUUCUAAGUGUACAUGUAAGUGUUUCUCAACCUCUGGGUCGUGAUCCCUGGAGGUAGCAAAUGACCCUUUUUACAAGGGUCACCUGAUACCAUGGGCAAACACACGUUUACAAUUCUUAACAGUAGCAAAGUUACAGUUAUAAAGUAGCAACAAAAGUAACUAUGGUUGGGGGUCACCACAGGUGUGGACAGAAGGCCAGGUUCUCUCCUCUGCAAACCUGUACUAUUCUAACGUCUAAGGAAAGAGCAUCCCCAAGCUUCACAGGAGAGCAUGCAGGGCAGCAGAGGGAGCCCCUCGAUUAUACCCAGCCCCCCAAUCUGCCCCAUAGGUGCUAACUCGUCACCGACAGUGAAACCUGUUCUUACCACUCACACAGAAGCACCACAUAGCUCUCCCGUCCCCAGAAUGCAAUCCUGGAUGCAGCCAACCCCUGCAGAGGAAGCAGCUGAUUAGCCAGGCCACCUGUGCUUCCUUCUCAGUGGAGCAAAAGAGCACGGGCACCACGGAUCCCGUAUGAUGCCCACGCAGGGUUAGAGUACACCAAAACACUCUGGAAUCAACAGGAGGGGAGCAGCCAACCCCCCUGUCCUCAGCCUGACCCUGGCUCUCCCCGCAGGCCUCUGACAGUGGGAAAGCAGGGAUACACGGGAAGAGAGGCUGUGAUAAAGACACAACUGUCCACCAUGCUUCCCAGGACAGGAGGCGAUGCACAUAGAAGAUUCUGAAAGCCCCAAGUUUCACGAAGUGUAGGAAAGAAUGUGCCUCUCACUGGCUGGCCCAAUUUUAAGCUAAGCAAUCUGGGAACAUCCCUGAUGCUAGAGGAAUCAUGGGUACAGCAGGUACCAGGGGAAUCCAUGAGCACAAAGAAUGCUGGCAUGCCACCAACACUGACAGAACAUCGUGAGGCUGUCUGCCAACAUCUUUUAAUAUUCAAGUGUGCCUGGAGGCCUUUCUGUAAGCUAGCCCCUGUGUACACACGCAGUGCGAUGUGAACUGUUUCCAUCAGGCACUGCAGAACUGGGAAUCCUGUGUGUGUCCCCCAAGCCCUAAGAAGUCACACACUAAGAUGACUUCCCAUAAUGAGAGCAAUAGGAGAUGGCUGGCAAACACCGGGGUGCCCAAGAUGAGCAUGAAGCUACCUUGUGGACUGAAUGCUCGCCAGGCUCCUGUAGGCUGGCCAGGUCACAGCACUGCAGCUGGCAACCACUUCUGUACUUCCAGAGUCUCAGGGUGCCGUCCUGUACAUAGACAGAAGGGUUAGCACGUGGGCUCAAGAGGCCUGUCCCAGAAGCAACAAAGGCUGGGGGAGGGCCGGGGAAACAGGACGCUGAACAUAGCUGGGUGCAGACAGAGCCCCUCUGACAGCUAGGGCUCCCUUAUGAAGAAAACCCUCUCUGUAGAGUACCGCAAGCUAAGCAGUUGUGCCACACCUAAGAAAGCCUCCAGGAUGACAGGCGAGUCAAGACACCUAGCCAUGGCACAGAGGCAAAGGAACCAAGAUGGCCAGCAGCCUACUGAGCAAAGUCCACUCACACCGCCUGCUGUGCCGGGACCAGGCAGGCAAACACACAUCAACUAUGCACACAGCCCUGAAGAAGGGGCCACUUUAAGAGCCUGGAAGACACUCCCUCUAGUGGCCACAAGCAACAGAAACUGGUGGACCUGGCAUCCUAGUUGGGGACAAGGGGCUGGACACUUUCUUUUGCUGUGAGCACCCAGCAGCAAGCAGGGAACUUACCCCGGAGGAAGAAAGCAGCAGCUCAGGAUGACUGGGCACCACAAAGAUGCGGCUCACAAACCUGCGGAGCAAGGCUAAGUCACCCAGAGCAUGGGAGGGAGCCUCGAGCUGCUCAGAAAGGGAGAACACGGUCACCCCUCCCAUACCAGCAGGUACUAAGAACAUGGCUGGGCACGUUUGUGUCCCCGACAUUACAUCUGGACCAAGGGUGGCAGGGCCCAGUUCUGCCAGAGCAUUGUCGCGUGCAGCUCUGCAUGAUGCCUCCAUGCAGGGUCAGUGAGUCUCAGAGGGCAGGGCACCAGAGAAGAGGAAAGCCAUACUACUGAGCACCAGAGAAGUCCCCAAGAGGCCUCUGUGUAGCCAGUCCAUACCAGUGCCCCCAGGAAACCAAUCAGAAACUCCUAGCUGCAAAACCCAACCUAGUUCUGUGGCUUCCAACUGCACAGGACAACAGCAGCCACUAUGCCGCCAGCCGUGCACCUGAGCAAGCACCUGACUCUCCAGGAACCCCACACCUACCCUGCAAUCCUCCUGGCCAGACACAUGCUCUCCAGUGCAGGCAAGAAAGCUGCCCUUCUCCCAGCUCCUUUUAUUUUUUUUAAUGUACAAGUGUCCUGUCUGCAUGUAUUCCUGCAGGUCAGAAGGCAUCAGAUCCCAUUAUAGAUGAUCAUGAGCCACCCCACUAUGUAGUUGCUGGGAACUGAACUUAGGACCUCUGGAAGAGCAGCCAUUGGUCUUAACCGCUGAGCCAUCUCUCUAGCCCCUUCUCCCAGCCCUUAUCAGAGACUUUAUCUUUCUCAAGACCCAGGCCUCCUACCACAAGCUGGUUCACAUAGCUCCCUUCAUCUCCAUUACCUCAAUACCAAGCCAACUGAGCCAGGCCUGGCCUGCAGCUGCCAUCUGAGGGGCCCUGGCUGUAGUCCUAAGCCCUCCAAGAGGAAUAAGCUGUGUGCAUCCCUAAGUCACCCCCAAGUCCUCAGCAGCUAAGAAGGGACCAGUGCACACAAAGCUGAACUAAAAGGCCACGGGGGUUCCCUCCCUGCACUGCAGAAACCCCAAGGGCUAACAGGUACAGUUCAUUCUCAAGUCACUGUACACAAGCGACAGGUUCCUGCAGAAGGUAGAGGGGUAAAGUCCCCAAGGAAGUAGGCAGCACCAACAGAAAAUGACAAAGAGGAGCAAAGGGCUGCCACAUAAACACCAGUUCCACAAACCACAAUGUGACAAGAACCUGAGGCAGGAGUGCACGCCCACUGGAGUGAGGCUCAGCGGAACCCAGCGCAUUCUCUGAGACAACUACAAGCCGCGCUAAGCUGUGGCAAGGUACAAGCUGACUGACAUAGCCUUCUUCAAGGCCAACUUCUGCAUCCCACUGGAGAAGUCAAGAGCCAGCUCAGAACUGAAGUCUUCCAGGCCUCCUUCCCACUGUCUGCAAUAACGUGCUUUCCGUUCAGUGCAGACACACUAAGUGCUGUUCCCUGUGCACCCUGCAAUCAACCUCUGGCCAAAGAGCAGUUUUCUCCACCAAAGAUCACUUGCCAGGAGAGCACAGGCGGAGACCCAGACAUUUAACUCCUCCCGACAGCCUGCAGUUACCAGGGUACACUGGUCCCUGGGCCCGGAAGAGUUUGCAGUGUGGACUGUGGAAACGGGCUGAGCAGCACCAGCCCAGGAGCUAUGCUGGCCCUGGGCUUCCCACAGCUCACAGCCCUGGGUUUCUGCAGCUCUCACAUCUAUGGGAGCCAUGGGCCUGACACGGCCAUCGGAGCCUCCAAGUAUCCCUUAGCAUGAAGCCCCUACCAGUAUACCCAAGCACCAGUGCCCUGGCCCACCCUCAUUUAUUAGACCCGACUUCCUUGUCUGGGGAAGGGGCAGGGUGGCACUUACUCCGUGUGGCCCAGGCAGAAAGCCUCGAUGCUGUGUGGGGCGGCAGCCCAGCUGACCCGGAUCU